rnacentral:rRNA from 1 species
AGUGAACGCUGGCGGUAGGCCUAACACAUGCAAGUCGAACGGCAGCACAGGAGAGCUUGCUCUCUGGGUGGCGAGUGGCGGACGGGUGAGGAAUACAUCGGAAUCUACUCUGUCGUGGGGGAUUACGUAGGGAAACUUACGCUAAUACCGCAUACGACCUACGGGUGAAAGCAGGGGACCUUCGGGCCUUGCGCGAUUGAAUGAGCCGAUGUCGGAUUAGCUAGUUGGCGGGGUAAAGGCCCACCAAGGCGACGAUCCGUAGCUGGUCUGAGAGGAUGAUCAGCCACACUGGGACUGAGACACGGUCCAGACUCCUACGGGAGGCAGCAGUGGGGAAUAUUGGACAAUGGGCGCAAGCCUGAUCCAGCCAUACCGCGUGGGUGAAGAAGGCCUUCGGGUUGUAAAGCCCUUUUGUUGGGAAAGAAAUCCAGCUGGCUAAUACCCGGUUGGGAUGACGGUACCCAAAGAAUAAGCACCGGCUAACUUCGUGCCAGCCGCCGCGGUAA